GGGGAUGUUUCGGAUUCGACAGGGAAACAGACGACACGGUAAGCAUACCGAAGGCUCGGCUUCGUAAAAACGGAAAAUAAAUUUAAACGCAAAAAAUAACACAGUUGCUAUUGCUGCUUAAUUAGCAUAGCUGUCGCCUAAGUUCUCCACGCACUUAGAUACGGCAUCAACCAGUGGAAAAGGGCAGUGCGGAGCGUCCCGAACGCAUUGCAAGACAAGGGACUUGUUUGUGGAAGCUUUGUUGCUUUGACUCCCCCAAAGACCUACCCAAAGUAAACUAAGUAUGUAGAAAGCCUUGUAAGAAUUUUUUUGGACGCGGGUUCGACUCCCGCCAUCUCCACCA
rnacentral:tmRNA from 1 species